AUCAUCCCCCUGCAGAGGCCAGCUCCAAGAGCAAGAUGCAGCACCCUUCAGACACCCUGGAGUUGACCAGGCUACUCCCAUUGAAGUUCGUGAAGCUAUCUGUCCACAACCGGGAAAAGCAGCAUCUUCGCCUGAAACUGGCCAGUGGGCGAUCCUUCUAUUUGCAGCUGUGCCCACCCUCCGAUGCCAGGGAGGAUCUCUUCUCCUUAUGGGAGAAGCUCAUCUACCUCCUUCGGCCACCUGUGGAGGGCUACAGCAGCACCCACGCCAUUCCUGCUGGGAAGGGUCGAGGUGCCUGUUUUCAGUGCGGAAGAGGAAUCUCCUGUGAGUUGAGCCACAGAAGGACUCAAUUUGGGCCUUGCCCGACCUGCCUCUGAGGGCCUGUCUAGAUCAUUCCAUUAUAUUCUCUACUCAGCUAUGCUAGAAAAUGCGGGUGAGGGGGAAAUGGUGAAUGAUUUGAUCACUGUUCUUGCCCCAGGCCCUUUCAGCAGUGACAAUGUCUGGAACUAACACAUCCCGGUUCCUGCUUAGGCCUCUGUCCUAGGGUCCACAGGGUAGCAGGAAGGACUUGAUUGCCAAGCCCCCAAUCCUGACCAGGGGGAGUGGGGGGAGGGAGUUGGCAAAGAUAUGCCUUCUUUUAGGAAUCAGCCCCCACGCCCCCCCCCACCCUAUGCACACUCACAACACACCAGAACAGACACAUGUGUUCCAGGUCCUGGAAUUCCCUGGGGCUUCCUCAGUUUCCUUCUCCAUUAUAGUGGGGUAGGAGGAGGGCUCCUGACCCUAGGAUAUUUAUGACCUGACUUUGACCCAGGCGGCCUCUAACUAUCCUCUUGUGUCUCUUCUGCCCCUGGCACUAGGGACCCCAGCCCCAGGAGCCUAUUCCGCAUGAAGGGGAGCAGGAUAAAGUGAGCAUAAAGAGUCUUGACGUUCCUGGCCGGGAUAGGAUGUCAGUGCAGCCAGAAAUAAUCACGGCGGCUGCUGCUGAGGAGGGCUUCCCUAGUCCAGGAGGCACCGAGACGGAGCUGCUGCCCCCACACUACACCAUCCACGGGGUGCCCAGUGUGUCCCCUCCCAGUACCCGGUCUGUUACAACCGUUGCUAUGGCAGCUGCCGCCAGCAAGGGGCCUGCCAGUAACGCCAUGGCCGGGGCCCCCGCGGGAAUGGGGACAGCUACAGCAGGCAGCCAGGGGCCUGGCCUAAGUGUAGCCCUGGCUGGGACUACAACUGGGCAGGUAACAGAGACGGCAGGUAACACGUGGGCAAGCAGUGGGAGUCUAAUGCUGGCUGGCGCUGCCAGUAUGUCCUCAGGCACCAGCAGCCUGAUCCCCUCGGGCCACAUGAGCAUGGCCUCUGCUGGAGCCGGGAGCUUCGUUGUAGCCCGCCUAGGAAGCGUCACCCCCCUCGGGCCCGAGCGCCCCCUUGUGUCGACCUUGCACACUGAGGGCUACAUGAGUGAGCGGGACGGAAGUCAGAGGGUGGCCAUGGCCAGCCCCAAGGUGGCCAAAAAAGACACGUCAUCGAGGAGGCACUCCCGGCACCGGAAAGGCCAAGCUCGCAGACGAGCCAAGAGGGAAGGUGGCAGCGGCCAGAGGAGGUCAUCCCGGCAGGCUGCGACUUCCAAGGAGACUCAGAAAUCCAGCCGCCACAGCCCGUCUUCCCGCAAAGCCACCAGCCGCAGUCCCUCCGUAAAGGAUUCCAGUGCUUCCAAAGAGGUCUGCUUUGGGGCAAAAUCUGAUUGCUGCCCCCCUGGUCUGAGCUCUGCAAGUUUCUUCCUGGGUUUGGGUCUAUGCUAGAGUACACUGCUGCUGGACCCUGUGCUCGUCAGCCAACCAGAAAGCUCUGUUGGUUUAGAGUGACAGAAUGGUAGGGUCCUCUUUGCUCUGGGAUUCUUGCUUUAUCCCUCUGUCCACUGGGUUAGAUGCUGCUUAUAAGAGCCUGCUCUGGACCUAAUAUCUGAGCCAUACCUCUGAUGCUACUGCCGCUGGCUCCUGAAUUUUCUCCUUUCUAGUUACAUCACCCAAUUCUUCCCUAACCAGGAACAGAAUGUCACUCCCCUGUGCAGGACCCCUUUUCAGUCCACCCUGGAUCUAUGGCCCAGAGCUGGGUAACGGGCAACAAAACUGCUUGUACUUAUCCCCACUUCAGUGCCCUAGUAUGGAUCGAGGGGUCUGGGACCUCCUCCUCCCAUAGUACGUAGUCUCUUCUAGAUGCUGUAAUAUUCCAUAAGCUCCAUAAGCUCCUGACCUGCAGACUUCCCUCUCAGUCUCCUUAUGCCAUUGUUCCAAGGUAUUUCAAAUUAGGCCUCAUGUAAGUUAAAACUCACCCAUAAUAAUAAUGUUUUUAAAAGAAUGUCGCACCUUGGGGAAGCUAGGCAGCACAGUGGAUAGAGCUCCAGCCUUGGAGUCAGGAGGACCUAAGUUCAAAUCCAGCCUCAGACACUUGUUACUUACUAGCUCUGUGACCCUGGACAAGUCUAUUAACCCCAAUUGCCUAACCAAAAAAGAAAAAAAAGAAUGUUGCACUUUCAGAAGAAUCCAGUUAUAAAGACCUGCAUUCACCCAACUGACAGAGUGACUCUUUACAAAAAGAUUUAUCCAUGGAUUCCUUUAAGUACACUACAUUGGAAUAUUUAAAAUCAGAUUCAAGUUCCAAAAAAUUCCAUUUACAAACAGCAGUUUUUAGGAAGACACCUAUUGCUUUAAAUUCUUCUCCUCAAAGACUUUACUCUCUGGGUGGAAAGAUCAAAGACCACCACACACACAAAUCAGAAGGCAAAAGUCAGUGUAAGACCAAAUAUAAUCAAGUCUCAAAGUGUUUAGAACAACCAGAAAAAAUAAAAAGUAAAAUGGUUCUAUGGACA
ensembl:lncRNA